rnacentral:lncRNA from 10 species
AAAUCCUAACCCUCAAAGUGGUGGUAUUAAGAAGUGGGGCCUUUGGGAGAGGACUAGGUCAUGAAGGUGGACCCCUCAUGAAUAGGAUUAGUGUCCUUAUAAAAGACCUCAGAGAGCUGCCUUGCCCCUUCCACUGUUUGAGGACACAUGGAGAAGAUGCCGUCUAUGAGCCAAAAAGCAGGACCCUCACCAGACACCGAAUCUGCUGGUGCCAUCAUCUUGGACUUCCUAACCUCUAGAACGGCCCCGUGUGAGGCAUUGGGGUGCAGAGCUGCAGAAGACGCAGUCCAGGCCUCAUGGAUCUCACAGUCGGAGUGGAGGAGACCACCAAGGACAAAGACCACCUGGAAGAGUUCUCGGUAUCUCUUCCCAGAAACUCUCUUUGCUGGCUUCACUGCCUAGUUGCUCCCAGAUUUCCCAGAAUCCUGAUGUCCAGCCACACAAGCAUUCCCUGUCUGGCACAUUUUCAAACACCUGUGUUUGACAGGCCUCCACAAAUAAUACUUAUGGUGAGGAUAAGUGGAUAGUAUUUGAUGUUAUUACUAUUAUUUGCACAUCUUACCAUCCUUCUUAGAUGGUAAAUUACUCAGGACUGAUUUCCCCAAAUGGCUCAUUUCUGUAUCAGCUUAAAGGCCCAGCAGAGUACCUAGGACAUGAGAAGAUAUCCAAAAACAGAUGGCGAAUGAAUUAAUUCAUCUAACAAAUAUUCUUUGAGCUUUUACUCUGAAGCAGGCACUGAGCCAGGUUAUCAGGGGCACAAGAACAAAGAAAGGCAACAGGGUCCCUGCCCCUAAUGAAUGGAUGUCUGACUCGCUGGCUGAAACUGGCCAGCCUCGGAGGACCCAGACCUCCAUGGGGCUGGAAGUGGUGCCAUCAUCUUGGUGUGACACAGACUUCCUGGAUGUCCUCUGCCUCCUUCCUGUGGAGCUGGCUGAGCUCUGGGGAGAUGGCUGCCCACUGUGGUUUACCUGAUGUCCUGAACACUCUCAGCUGGCAGCCAAAGGCUAUAUUUAAAUAGCAAACAUUUGCAUUUUUAAUGUUGACUGGAAUUGGAAAGGCAAUGAUAACCUUUCUAAGCUGAUAUUGGUUUUUACAUGAUUGAAACAGGCCGGGCCUGAGGCAUUUCUUAAAUGGAAAAUUUGAAGUAUUUUCAAUAUCAGUGAGAGUGCAGAACCAUCUUGAAACACUGUGCCUGUUUGGAUUUUCAGAAAAUGUCACCUCCCUCCCUUGAGCACACUCAGCACCUUCGCCCUGUUCACAUUUCAGGGUCAUUCCUUCAUUGGGUCCUCCUAACCCUCUGAGAGGGUAGACAGCCUGAGGCCUGUGUCACUGGCGAGGAAGAGUUUAGGGAAGCCCAGAGGGCAGUGGAAAGGGCUCUGGCCUUAGAACUGGCUCCGAGUACCUUCCCUACACCUCACCACUCGGGUCUUCCUAAGCCUCCUUUUCUCACCUGUAGCAUAGUAAUAUAAAUGCCUGUUUCGUGGUGUAUUAGUUCGUUUCCACACUGCUAUAAAGAAAUACCUGAGGCCAGGCACAGUGGCUCACGCCUGUAAUCCUAAUACUUCCGGAGGCCGAGGCAGGCAAAUCACCUGAGGUCGGCAGUUCGAGACCAGCCUGACCAACAUGGAGAAACCCCGUCUCUAC